AUUGAACGCUGGCGGCAUGCCUUACACAUGCAAGUCGAACGGUAACAGGUCUUCGGAUGCUGACGAGUGGCGAACGGGUGAGUAAUACAUCGGAACGUGCCUAGUAGUGGGGGAUAACUACUCGAAAGAGUGGCUAAUACCGCAUGAGAUCUACGGAUGAAAGCAGGGGAUCGCAAGACCUUGUGCUACUAGAGCGGCCGAUGGCAGAUUAGGUAGUUGGUGGGAUAAAAGCUUACCAAGCCGAUGAUCUGUAGCUGGUCUGAGAGGACGAUCAGCCACACUGGGACUGGAACACGGCCCGGACGCCUACGGGAGGCAGCAGUGGGGAAUUUUGGACAAUGGGCGCAAGCCUGAUCCAGCAAUGCCGCGUGCAGGAUGAAGGCCUUCGGGUUGUAAACUGCUUUUGUACGGAACGAAAAGCCCUGGGUUAAUACCCUGGGGUCAUGACGGUACCGUAAGAAUAAGCACCGGCUAACUACGUGCCAGCAGCCGCGGUAACAC
rnacentral:rRNA from 1 species